rnacentral:rRNA from 1 species
UACGGGGGGGGCAAGCGUUGUUCGGAAUUACUGGGCGUAAAGGGCUCGUAGGCGGCCAACUAAGUCAGACGUGAAAUCCCUCGGCUUAACCGGGGAACUGCAUCUGAUACUGGAUGGCUAGAGAUUGGGAGAGGGAUGCGGAAUUCCAGGUGUAGCGGUGAAAUGCGUAGAUAUCUGGAGGAACACCGGUGGCGAAGGUGGCAUCCUGGACCAACACUGACGCUGAGGAGCGAAAGCCAGGGGAGCAAACAGG